rnacentral:rRNA from 1 species
AUUGAACGCUGGCGGCAGGCCUAACACAUGCAAGUCGAACGGUAACAGGAAGAAGCUUGCUUCUUUGCUGACGAGUGGCGGACGGGUGAGUAAUGUCUGGGAAACUGCCUGAUGGAGAGGGAUAACUACUGGAAACGGUAGCUAAUACCGCAUAACGUCGCAAGACCAAAAAGGGGGACCUUCGGGCCUCUUGCCAUCGGAUGUGCCCAGAUGGGAUUAGCUAGUAGGUGGGGUAACGGCUCACCUAGGCGACGAUCCCUAGCUGGUCUGAGAGGAUGACCAGCCACACUGGAACUGAGACACGGUCCAGACUCCUACGGGAGGCAGCAGUGGGGAAUAUUGCACAAUGGGCGCAAGCCUGAUGCAGCCAUGCCGCGUGUAUGAAGAAGGCCUUCGGGUUGUAAAGUACUUUCAGCGGGGAGGAAGGGAGUAAAGUUAAUACCUUUGCUCAUUGACGUUACCCGCAGAAGAAGCACCGGCUAACUCCGU